rnacentral:rRNA from 1 species
AGCGAACGCUGGCGGCAGGCCUAACACAUGCAAGUCGAACGAACCCUUCGGGGUUAGUGGCGGACGGGUGAGUAACACGUGGGAACGUGCCUUUAGGUUCGGAAUAACUCAGGGAAACUUGUGCUAAUACCGAAUGUGCCCUGCGGGGGAAAGAUUUAUCGCCUUUAGAGCGGCCCGCGUCUGAUUAGCUAGUUGGUGAGGUAAUGGCUCACCAAGGCUACGAUCAGUAGCUGGUCUGAGAGGAUGACCAGCCACAUUGGGACUGAGACACGGCCCAAACUCCUACGGGAGGCAGCAGUGGGGAAUCUUGCGCAACGGGCGAAAGCCUGACGCAGCCAUGCCGCGUGGAUGAUGAAGGUCUUAGGAUUGUAAAAUCCUUUCACCGGUGAAGAUAAUGACUGUAGCCGGAGAAGAAGCCCCGGCUAACUUCGUGCCAGCAGCCGCAGUAAUAC